CCUACGGGAGGCAGCAGUGGGGAAUAUUGCACAAUGGGCGCAAGCCUGAUGCAGCCAUGCCGCGUGUAUGAAGAAGGCCUUCGGGUUGUAAAGUACUUUCAGCGGGGAGGAAGGGAGUAAAGUUAAUACCUUUGCUCAUUGACGUUACCCGCAGAAGAAGCACCGGCUAACUCCGUGCCAGCAGCCGCGGUAAUA
rnacentral:rRNA from 1 species